UACGGAGGGGGCAAGCGUUGUUCGGAAUCAUUGGGCGUAAAGGGCGUGUAGGCGGUCGAUCAAGUCGGAGGUGAAAUCCCUCGGCUCAACUGAGGAAUUGCCUUCGAUACUGUUCGGCUUGAGUCCUGGAGAGGGUAGCGGAAUUCCCGGUGUAGCGGUGAAAUGCGUAGAGACCGGGAAGAACACCAGUGGCGAAGGCGGCUACCUGGACAGGUACUGACGCUAACAGCGCGAAAGCUAGGGGAGCAAACAGG
rnacentral:rRNA from 2 species